GUGAUGCUGCUCUGUCAAAACGCACAGACCUUCAACUUGGAGGGAUCCCAGAUAUACGAGGACUCCAUCGUUCUUCAGUCUGUUUUCAAGAGCGCCAGACAGAAGAUCGCCAAGGACGAUGACAGCGAUGACGACAGUGAGGAGGAGGAGGAGGACGACGACGAUGACUCAGAGGCCGAGGCCAAGUCAGUGCGGGUAAAGAUCAAGCUGAGCAGGGAGGCACGCGGCCACGACAAAGGCAAGAAGAGGCAGAGCCGAGGGAAGGCCAAGCCGGUGGUCAGCGACGACGACAGCGACGAGGACCAGGAUGAUAAUGAUCAAUCAGACAAGAGCAAAAGUGAUGACGAGUGACGAAGGAGAAGCAAGGGCGCGAGGAUAUUGUUUACAGCACUUAGAAACAAAGGACAAUAUCUUCCAUUGCUGUUGUUCAGGUUCAUGUUCCUUAAACUUUGCUCCGUGUCUUCUGUGUGUGUCUGUAGGGUGUGUUCUCAUCUCCCACCAGCUUAGAAAUGUAUUACUUACAAUCGAUAGCAUACAGCAAUACCAAUCAGCUUAUAUUUCUCUUUUUAAGACAAUUUUGUAGUAUAUUUUUUAACUACGUGCUUUAACAAAACACAAAAUGUACAAAAAAGAAAAACACACAUUGGUCAUCCUAUUUGCGCUUUUGCUUUGUUUGUAAUCGCUUGCUUGCACUUUAAAAAAAACCUUCAGUAUCCUGAUUUUUAAAAAGUCAAGUAAAACAAAAAUAUGUAUCACCAGUGAAAUCAAAGCUAAUUUGGAGAAAUGGCAGUCAGUUUUUUAAGUUUUGGAUUCAUUGUUUUUAACGUGUGCCGUGCCAAAUGUAGACAAACUGACCGUUAGCUUAACCCCUCCCACACGCAGCAUCUGUCCAAUCACAGCUAGGCUUUUUUAAGCUUGUAUGAAAUAAAUAUAAAAGUAAGUAAAAGAUUUAAUAGUUAUCUGCCUCAGUGUGUAGAUUAAACACGCUGUCAGCGUGUUUAAAGAAGCUAACACCUGCUAACUGGCCCAGGCUGAGGUGGGGUGAGUGGACACGUGUAAAGAGCCUGGUGGAAGACUGAGUCAUUCGCUGGACAGCGUUUGGAACAGUCUGUGUCGUGUGUUGUAGCUCAUGUGGACAAGUCCACAGUCCAGUCCAAGUCCUCAAACUGUUGAAAGCUGGGCUCACGUCUGUGUUAGCAUGUAGACCACAGUCUGUUUGUCACAGAUGAGUCCACAGUUACGACACUUUCUCUCAGAACUGUAAAGGAUGCAGUGGAGAAACCCAAAGUUCACUUCUGCUGUUCAUCGUAGAACAAUCCAGUUAAAUCUCGUGGUUUAGUCUAGAAAUGGGCAGAAGUGUCAGGCAAUGAAGGCUUUCUCUGUUUGUCGUGGACCAACGUGGGUUAGGGUUCUUUCACCUGCCCCAGGGAGCGCUUGCAUCUUAAAGGAGGAGAACUCCCGCAGGACUCACAUUGAGGCAAACUUUUCUUGACAAGUGGCAAAAUGAGAGAUGUUGAUUUCAUUGUGGUGCAGACAGCCCACAGCCACUUUGACCUGGUAGAGGCCACUAACUACUUUAAUCCAGCGUCUCCCUCGGGCUGCACAUCAGUCUGUGGAGAUGCACUUUUGUCUCUUAUCUGGGACUUCCUCGAACUCAAUUAUCUCUUCAGCCUCUUUAUCUUUCCUCACGUGCACAUCCUCGCUGUUAUUACCAUCAGUGACUGAGGGCUCUGUAAAUGUGAUAUGUCAGCUCAGUCUCAGUCCUGCAGCAGCGGCCGGCUCGCUGAGUAGCACAGCGUACUGCUGCAACAUCAGGAACAGCUGUGCGCUUCAUCAAACAUUCACACACACCUGAUUACUUAUUUACCUACAGUAACAGGACAUUAUAUAGAUCACAGGCAUUUUAGUCAUCACAAAUGUACAUAUUAAUCAGCCUCUGAGCCUGACACUAAGGCACGCAGACCCUCACGAUCAAAUCUCUUUGUGUUCUGUCAUUACGUUACAGUUCACACAAGGCCUGUUCUCUGCUUUCUGCUCCAUCAGCCCCACCUUAAAGCUUCCUCCUGCUCUCUCCCAAAGCAGCAUGUCGGCUGCUGUCCUCCACCUCCUGCUCUCCUACAUCUCGCUCUUCAUUAGCUACAGCUGCCUCCUUUCUGUCACCUCCCACAGAAACUGUGGAAAUAUGAAAACAGAGACUGUAACACUGGGCCAAUUAUUAGCGUGUGUUUCCUUUGGCCUGUAGGUACUCUGUUGUGCUGUUACCGUUGGUCCAGCAUGUCUUUGAACCUCCUUAGGAGCGGGCUUUUUGAGUCUUUGGAACUAACAGAAUUGUUUUCAUUGGUUUGAACAGUCGAUAAAUGCUGAGCAGCUGCUGAUAGAUGUCUUUGUAGCUGUGUGGUGUGAGGGGUUCCCUGAACAGUCUCACAGUGUCACUGCCCUUACUGUUUGGCCCCGUCAUCACUUUACAACAGUGAUUCACUGUUAGGUUCCCAUUGCUGCAGGGCAGAACACGCUCUACUGCAUGCUGCAAACAAGCAAUCUGUCCGUACUUUGAAGAAGAAAGUACUUUUAGAAGAACAUGAUUUGGUUGCAUGUGGGCUCUGUAAGGGAAAGCCAACACAUAACCACUAAACAGCAACUUACAGAGCAGUUUUGCUGUUAGCCCAGCAGUUACAGCCACACUGAGUGACUGUGACUGUUAGACUGAGUGAGUAGUGUAAAUUUCACGAUAUGUUUAGACUGUUUGGACAUUAGAAGACUAACUGCUUCCUCUGAUUCUCCCUGGAGACCUGAUGCCAUGUUAUCAGUUUGCAGAGAUACAAAUGGCGUUCUUAGCUUCUGAAGUGCUCAGCUGUGUCCCUGCAUCACCUUCAUCAAACUGUUCACACGUUUAGUUAAAGAUCGGCACCUUGUUCAUGAGUAGAGCCUGCCUGCACAUUGAGAUAUAGACUCUCUGCAUCAGCUUUUGGUUUUUAAAAGGGAACAUUUGUUUCUUUCAAGGUAUUUAAAAUCAUCCUGUAGAUAUUUCUAAAUACCUGGGAUGUUAUAAUACUGUGAUAUCACCAAGGCCUCCUGUACAGAGACGCCAUGUCCCUGCUGUAACUUAAAUAUCCAAACAAAAUAAAAACGCUCUUUAAAUACUCGCUAAGAACUUUUUGGAUUAGCUGGCGGGAGCAGAGCUGUACUCGUGUGUCUAUGCGUUCACCUCAUGUCGAAGCUUUACAGUUGCAGUAACGGUAACAGGAGGGCGGGGCUUAGCAGACGGUCAGCAACGCGAUUACACGAUUGUGAAAGCACAGGCAGAUAAAAACGUGCGUCUGUAGCUGACAGAUGAACUUGACACAGCCAGAAAUGUCCGACGCUUUUUUAACCGCUUCUAGUAAGACAAAUAUAAUCGCACAUGAUUAGGGAGGUGCACGUGGUUCAUGUGUCCUUCCUCUGAUGUUUUUAACAUUUUCUGUAUCACAGCGUUGUCGCAUUAAUUUUCUCGUUUUGUUGGAGUUAUUUUCUACGUAGAAAGCUCGUGUCAGACAGCGGGUUCACGGGGAAACAUCUCACUUCGGGGAAUGAAACCAGAUUCUGUCGUAGCGCUAAAUGUAGCGUCUGAAUACAUGUUACAGUCGUUUUGCAAAAAAAUAGAAAAUGAAAUCAUAAAAAUCUGAAAAAUAAGUGUAACAAACCGAGUCUGACGGGUUGUGACGGCCUGAAUUACUACAAAGAAAACAGUAUUAUGAGAUUAAUGAGACGUGUCGGUUUGUUUCAGGUGUUCGUGUUCCUUGUGAAUUAGUUCUAAACCCUCAUUUUAUUGUUUAUGUGUUAUUUGUAGCAUGCACUCUUGACAGUAUACCGUGCACAUGCAGAUAUAUCAUUUUUGUGUAAUAUGUGCUUGCCGAUUCUCCGUAAGUGUGACUUAAUCUUUGCUUUCUUUGCACAGUGUCUUUGUGGUUGUAUCUCAUAGCCCAGGGCAAAUAAACAUCACUGAUUUCCAACACAAA